UGGAAAUGGUGAGGGCCAUGUCUUGGGUUGGGUUUUAGGGUUUGGGCGGUGGGGUAGAAACAAACGGUACAGAAUCUAGCGACAGACGAGGGAGAGAGGGACAAGCAAAUCUAGGGCUUUUGUUUUAACCGGGAGGAAAUCAUACCGGAGAUGGAAUCAGUACGCCACCAGACAACGUUCUCCUUUACGGUCUAUCUCUCAUGACAAUGAAAGAAGCAGCAAGAGCAUGUGUUCUCUCCCACCGCUGGAAAAAGCUUUGGACUUCUAUCCCGAGUUUGAGUUUUGAUGGUUCAAUGACACUAUAUGACUACGAAGCACGGAACAACAAUUAAAAGGCAAAUUUAGCUUUAGAUACAAAACUUGGGUGAAUUCUUUCCUGGAAUUAUACCAGGGUCCUGCUGUAGAUGAAUUCAAGAUUCGAUUUGAUUUGGAUCAACGCUACAGUUGAAUUGGCUCACACCAUCUGGGAGAGGGAUGGCGAAAAGAGUUCCGGAAAGUCCCCAUUAUUGCCUUAAGGUCGUGGAAAUACUUGGCUUUGUAGAAAUUUUGACAUAUAUCAUCAAGAAUGCAG